rnacentral:misc_RNA from 1 species
GAUGAAGAACGCAGCGAAAUGCGAUAAGUAAUGUGAAUUGCAGAAUUCAGUGAAUCAUCGAAUCUUUGAACGCACCUUGCGCCCUUUGGCUAUUCCGAAGGGCAUGCCUGUUUGAGUAUCAUGAACACCUCAACUCUUCACGGCUUGCCGUGAUGAGUUUGGACUUUGGGGGUCUUGCUGGCCUACGAGCCAGCUCCUCUCAAAUGUAUUAGCUUGCCGGUGUUUGGUGGCAUCACAGGUGUGAUAACUAUCUACGCUUGUGGUUUUCCACUAGGUAACCUUCAGCAAUGGAGGUUCACCGGAGCUCACAAAUGUCUCUCCUUGCCAAGGACAAAUUUUGACCAUUUGAUCUCAAAUCAGGUAGGACUACCCGCUGAACUUAAGCAUAUCAAUAAGCGGAGGA